rnacentral:rRNA from 1 species
UGGGGAAUUUUGGACAAUGGGCGAAGCCUGAUCCAGCAAUGCCGCGUGUGUGAAGAAGGCCUUCGGGUUGUAAAGCACUUUUGUCCGGAAAGAAAUCCUUGGCUCUAAUACAGUCGGGGGAUGACGGUACCGGAAGAAUAAGCACCGGCUAACUACGUGCCAGCAGCCGCGGUAAUACGUAGGGUGCAAGCGUUAAUCGGAAUUACUGGGCGUAAAGCGUGCGCAGGCGGUUUGCUAAGACCGAUGUGAAAUCCCCGGGCUCAACCUGGGAACUGCAUUUGGUGACUGGCAGGCUAGAGUAUGGCAGAGGGGGGUUAGAAUUCCACGUGUAGCAGUGAAAUGCGUAGAGAUGUGGAGGAAUACCGAUGGCGAAGGCAGCCCCCUGGGCAAUACUGACGCUCAUGCACGAAAGCGUGGGGAGCAAACAGGAUUAGAUACCCUGGUAGUCCACGCCCUAAACGAUGUCAACUAGUUGUUGGGGAUUCAUUUCCUUAGUAACGUAGCUAACGCGUGAGUUGACCGCCUGGGGAGUACGGUCGCAAGAUUAAAACUCAAAGGAAUUGACGGGGUCAUAGCUGUUUCCU